rnacentral:rRNA from 1 species
ACGCUGGCGGCAUGCCUUACACAUGCAAGUCGAACGGCAGCACGGGGGCAACCCUGGUGGCGAGUGGCGAACGGGUGAGUAAUACAUCGGAACGUGUCCUGUAGUGGGGGAUAGCCCGGCGAAAGCCGGAUUAAUACCGCAUACGCUCUACGGAGGAAAGGGGGGGAUCUUAGGACCUCCCGCUACAGGGGCGGCCGAUGGCAGAUUAGCUAGUUGGUGGGGUAAAGGCCUACCAAGGCGACGAUCUGUAGCUGGUCUGAGAGGACGACCAGCCACACUGGGACUGAGACACGGCCCAGACUCCUACGGGAGGCAGCAGUGGGGAAUUUUGGACAAUGGGCGAAAGCCUGAUCCAGCAAUGCCGCGUGUGUGAAGAAGGCCUUCGGGUUGUAAAGCACUUUUGUCCGGAAAGAAAACGCCGUGGUUAAUACCCGUGGCGGAUGACGGUACCGGAAGAAUAAGCACCGGCUAACUACGUGCCAGCAGCCGCGGUAAUACGUAGGGUGCAAGCGUUAAUCGGAAUUACUGGGCGUAAAGCGUGCGCAGGCGGUCCGCUAAGACAGAUGUGAAAUCCCCGGGCUUAACCUGGGAACUGCAUU